AUUGAACGCUGGCGGCAGGCUUAACACAUGCAAGUCGAGCGGGGUGAUGGUGCUUGCACUAUCACUUAGCGGCGGACGGGUGAGUAAUGCUUAGGAAUCUGCCUAUUAGUGGGGGACAACAUCUCGAAAGGGAUGCUAAUACCGCAUACGUCCUACGGGAGAAAGCAGGGGAUCACUUGUGACCUUGCGCUAAUAGAUGAGCCUAGGUCGGAUUAGCUAGUUGGUGGGGUAAAGGCCUACCAAGGCGACGAUCUGUAGCGGGUCUGAGAGGAUGAGCCGCCACACGGGGACUGAGACAAGGCCCAGGCUCCUACGGGAGUCAGCAGUGGGGAAUAUUGGACAAUGGGGUGAACCCUGAUCCAGCCAUGCCGCGUGUGUGAAGAAGGCCUUAUGGUUGUAAAGCACUUGAAGCGAGGAGGAGGCUCUUUUGGUUAAUACCCAAGAUGAGUGGACGUUACUCGCAGAAUAAGCACCGGCUAACUCUGUGCCAGCCGCCGCCGUAA
rnacentral:rRNA from 1 species